rnacentral:misc_RNA from 1 species
CCGAAUCGUCGACACGAGUUGUUGCUGGCCCUCAAACCGGGGCAUGUGCACGCUCUGUUUGCAUCCACCCACACCUGUGCACCCUUUGUAGUUCUGCGGUCCGGGGGACCCCCUCUUCCGUCCGCGGUUCUACGUCUUACACACACACUGUAACGCGGUUUUAUGGAAUGUACGCAGCGUUUAACGCAAUACAAUA